rnacentral:rRNA from 1 species
AUACGGAGGGGACUAGCGUUGUUCGGAAUUACUGGGCGUAAAGAGUUCGUAGGCGGACUGAUAAGUAAGAGGCGAAAUCCCAGGGCUCAACCCUGGAACUGCCUUUUAAACUGUCAGUCUAGAGACCGGAAGAGGUUAGGGGAAUACCUAGUGUAGAGGUGAAAUUCGUAGAUAUUAGGUGGAACACCAGUGGCGAAGGCGCCUAACUGGUCCGGUACUGACGCUGAGGAACGAAAGCGUGGGGAGCAAACAGGAUUAGAUACACUAGUAGUCC